rnacentral:rRNA from 1 species
CACUCCUGCGGGAGGCAGCAGUGGGGAAUAUUGCACAAUGGGCGCAAGCCUGAUGCAGCCAUGCCGCGUGUAUGAAGAAGGCCUUCGGGUUGUAAAGUACUUUCAGCGGGGAGGAAGGCGAUAAGGUUAAUAACCUUGUUGAUUGACGUUACCCGCAGAAGAAGCACCGGCUAACUCCGUGCCAGCAGCCGCGGUAAUACGGAGGGUGCAAGCGUUAAUCGGAAUUACUGGGCGUAAAGCGCACGCAGGCGGUCUGUCAAGUCGGAUGUGAAAUCCCCGGGCUCAACCUGGGAACUGCAUUCGAAACUGGCAGGCUAGAGUCUUGUAGAGGGGGGUAGAAUUCCAGGUGUAGCGGUGAAAUGCGUAGAGAUCUGGAGGAAUACCGGUGGCGAAGGCGGCCCCCUGGACAAAGACUGACGCUCAGGUGCGAAAGCGUGGGGAGCAAACAGGAUUAGAAACCCGAGUAGUCCCAU